rnacentral:rRNA from 1 species
UCCGUAGGUGAACCUGCGGAGGGAUCAUUACUGAGUUCGUGCCCCUCGGGGUAGACCUCCAACCCAGUGUCUCUGUACCUCUGUUGCUUUGGUAGGCCGCCGGGCGUUGCCUGGCUCCCGGCUCCGGCUGGGGAGUGCCUACCAGAGGACCCUUCAAACCUGAUUGUCAGUGUUGUCUGAGUACUAUGUAAUCGUUAAAACUUUCAACAACGGAUCUCUUGGUUCUGGCAUCGAUGAAGAACGCAGCGAAAUGCGAUAAGUAAUGUGAAUUGCAGAAUUUAGUGAAUCAUCGAAUCUUUGAACGCACAUUGCGCCCCUUGGUAUUCCGGGGGGCAUGCCUGUUCGAGCGUCAUUACAACCCUCAAGCUCUGCUUGGUGUUGGGCGUCACCCGCCUGGGUGUGCCCUAAAAUCAGUGGCGGCGCCGCCUGGCUCCAAGCGUAGUACAUGCUCUCGCUAUGGACGCCGUGUCGGUGCUUGCCAGCAACCCCCAAACUCAUCAAGGUUGACCUCGGAUCAGGUAGGGAUACCCGCUGAACUUAAGCAUAUCAAUAAGCGGAGGGAAGUCGGACUGGCCAAGGGGCACACCAGGGGGGGGGAUA